AAGACCUUGCACUUUUGGAGCGGCCGAUGUCUGAUUAGCUAGUUGGUGGGGUAAUGGCCUACCAAAGCUUCGAUCAGUAGCUGGUCUGAGAGGACGGCCAGCCACACUGGGACUGAGACACGGCCCAGACUCCUACGGGAGGCAGCAGUGGGGAAUUUUGGACAAUGGGCGCAAGCCUGAUCCAGCCAUGCCGCGUGAGUGAAGAAGGCCUUCGGGUUGUAAAGCUCUUUCAGCCGGGAAGAAAAGGCUGCGACUAAUAAUCGUAGUUCAUGACGGUACCGGAAGAAGAAGCACCGGCUAACUACGUGCCAGCAGCCGCGGUAAUACGUAGGGUGCGAGCGUUAAUCGGAAUUACUGGGCGUAAAGGGUGCGCAGGCGGUUUUGUAAGUCAGAUGUGAAAUCCCCGGGCUUAACCUGGGAACU
rnacentral:rRNA from 1 species